rnacentral:rRNA from 1 species
UCGAGCGGACCGACGGGAGCUUGCUCCCUUAGGUCAGCGGCGGACGGGUGAGUAACACGUGGGUAACCUGCCUGUAAGACUGGGAUAACUCCGGGAAACCGGGGCUAAUACCGGAUGCUUGAUUGAACCGCAUGGUUCAAUCAUAAAAGGUGGCUUUUAGCUACCACUUGCAGAUGGACCCGCGGCGCAAUAGCUAGUUGGUGAGGUAACGGCUCACCAAGGCGACGAUGCGUAGCCCACCUGAGAGGGUGAUCGGCCACACUGGGACUGAGACACGGCCCAGACUCCUACGGGAGGCAGCAGUAGGGAAUCUUCCGCAAUGGACGAAAGUCUGACGGAGCAACGCCCCGUGAGUGAUGAAGGUUUUCGGAUCGUAAAACUCUUUUGUUAGGGAAGAACAAGUACCGUUCGAAUAGGGCGGCACCUUGACGGUACCUAACCAGAAAGCCACGGCUAACUACGUGCC